GUAGCGCCUCGUGAAUUCAUCUCCGGGGGUAGAGCACUGUUUCGGCUAGGGGGCCAUCCCGGCUUACCAACCCGAUGCAAACUGCGAAUACCGGAGAAUGUUAUCACGGGAGACACACGGCGGGGGCGAACGUCCGUCGUGAAGAGGGAAACAACCCAGACCGCCAGCUAAGGUCCCAAAGUCAUGGUUAAGUGGGAAACGAUGUGGGAAGGCCCAGACAGCCAGGAUGUUGGCUUAGAAGCAGCCAUCAUUUAA
rnacentral:rRNA from 1 species